GUUUGGCCUCUCUGGGAGGACCUGAGGGUCUAAGGGCUGCCUUAUAACUCAGUUUUGUGUCUUCAGAGUUCAGCUUCUUCCUUUGAGGAGCCGCCUGCUCUUAAAUCCAACUCCCAACAGCAGCAGGUGAUGGCUGAACAGCCAUUCUGCAAACACUGAGGUGCAAAUCCUUUCAUCCAAGAGACAUUUAAAGCCAAAACCGUGAGCUGAAAGGACACAGGAGAGAUCCAUGGGUCCCAGUGUGGCUCCUAAUCAAGGAGCUACUUUUCCAAGGGGCAGAUGAGCCAUGGAAGUGCAGUGUCCAUAGGCAGACAGGAAAAUCCAAACCCAGGACGACAUCUCCCCAUCACAUGCCUCUCAAAGUGCAGCUCUGCCACCCAAAAACCGUGUGACAGAAUUUACACACAGCGUAGCUGAGGAGCAGAGCAUGGGAGUGCAGCUCCAGGACCAUCAGGACUGAGCUGGGGACUUCCACGGGCACCAGGACAUGGAAUUUCACCUGAGGAUCACUUGCGUGGACCAAAGUCUGAUGAUUGUAUUGUUUCCUCCACCACUCACACAUUUCCAGAAACUGCUGAAUUUGACCCAAAUUCACAGACGGCUUUGCCUCCUCCACUCCAAAACUGCUUUGCUGGCCUCCUUUUGAGGGGGAAUAAAGAAGAGCUCGCAGGAACA
rnacentral:lncRNA from 1 species